CCCUUAGAUGUUCUGGGCCGCACGCGCGCUACACUGACUACUUCAACGAGUUGUUUCCUUGAUCGAAAGGUCUGGGUAAUCUUUGAAAGGUAGUCGUGAUGGGGAUAGAUCCUUGCAAUUUUUGAUCUUCAACGAGGAAUUCCUAGUAAACGCAAGUCAUCAGCUUGCAUUGAUUACGUCCCUGCCCUUUGUACACACCGCCCGUCGCACCUACCGAUUGAAUGGUCCGGUGAAUCUUUAGGACUGUGGCUGAGGCCUUGCCUUGUGCGGGUCUGGCCGUGGGAAUUUAGUUAAACCUUACCAUUUAGAGGAAGGUAAAGUCGUAACA
rnacentral:rRNA from 1 species